UACGUAGGGUGCAGGCGUUAAUCGGAAUUACUGGGCGUAAAGCGUGCGCAGGCGGUUUCUUAAGUCAGAUGUGAAAGCCCCGGGCUUAACCUGGGAACUGCGUUUGAAACUGGGAGACUUGAGUGUGGCAGAGGGGGGUGGAAUUCCACGUGUAGCAGUGAAAUGCGUAGAUAUGUGGAGGAACACCGAUGGCGAAGGCAGCCCCCUGGGUUAACACUGACGCUCAUGCACGAAAGCGUGGGGAGCAAACAAG
rnacentral:rRNA from 1 species